ACGAACGCUGGCGGCAGGCCUAAAACAUGCAAGUCGAACGAUUGCAGCAAUGCAGUAGUGGCGCACGGGUGAGUAACAUGUGGGAAUAUGCCUUUUGGUACGGAACAACUUUUGGAAACGAAAGCUAAUACCGUAUGGUCCCUUCGGGGUAAAGAUUUAUCGCCAAAAGAGUAGCCCGCACUGGAUUAGCUAGUUGGUAAGGUAAUGGCUUACCAAGGCGACGAUCCAUAGCUGGUCUGAGAGGACGAUCAGCCACACUGGGACUGAGACACGGCCCAGACUCCUACGGGAGGCAGCAGUUAGGAAUAUUGGACAAUGGGCGCAAGCCUGAUCCAGCCAUGCCGCGUGUGUGAUGAAGGCCUUCGGGUUGUAAAGCACUUUAGUCCACGAAUAUAAUGACUGUAGUGGAAGAAUAAGCCCCGGCUAACUUCGU
rnacentral:rRNA from 1 species